rnacentral:rRNA from 1 species
AUUGAACGCUGGCGGCAGGUCUAACACAUGCAAGUCGAGCGAGCGGCGGACGGGUGAGUAAUGUAUGGGGACUGCCCGAUAGAGUGGGAUAACUACUGGAACCGGUAGCUAAUACCGCAUACUAUCGGAUAACCCAUAUGGGCGUAGCUAGUAGGUGAGGUAAUGGCUCACCUAGGCGACGAUUCCUAGCGUGUCUGAGAGGAUGAUCAGUCAGACUGGGACUGAGACACGGCCCAGACGCCGACGGAGGCAGCAGUGGGGAAUAUUGCACAAUGGGCGCAAGCCUGAUGCAGCCAUGCCGGGUGUAUGAAGAAGGCCAUAGGGUUGUAAAGGACUUUCAGUCGGGAGGCGUUACCGACAGAAGAAGCACCGGCUAACUACGUGACAGCCACCGCGGUAAUAC